rnacentral:rRNA from 1 species
AGAGUUUGAUCCUGGCUCAGAUUGAACGCUGCGGCAUGCUUUACACAUGCAAGUCGAACGGCAGCGCGGGGCAACCUGGCGGCGAGUGGCGAACGGGUGAGUAAUAUAUCGGAACGUACCAGAAGUGGGGGAUAACGUAGCGAAAGUUACGCUAAUACCGCAUACGAUCUACGGAUGAAAGUGGGGGACCUUCGGGCCUCAUGCUUUUGGAGCGGCCGAUAUCUGAUUAGCUAGUUGGUGAGGUAAAGGCUCACCAAGGCGACGAUCAGUAGCUGGUCUGAGAGGACGACCAGCCACACUGGGACUGAGACACGGCCCAGACUCCUACGGGAGGCAGCAGUGGGGAAUUUUGGACAAUGGGGGCAACCCUGAUCCAGCAAUGCCGCGUGAGUGAAGAAGGCCUUCGGGUUGUAAAGCUCUUUUGUCAGGGAAGAAACGGUUGAGGCUAAUACCUUUGGCUAAUGACGGUACCUGAAGAAUAAGCACCGGCUAACUACGUG